ACCAGACUCCUACGGGAGGCAGCAGUAAGGGAUAUUGGUCAAUGGGGGAAACCCUGAACCAGCAACGCCGCGUGAGGGAAGACGGUUUUCGGAUUGUAAACCUCUGUCCUCUGUGAAGAUGAUGACGGUAGCAGAGGAGGAAGCCCCGGCUAACUACGUGCCAGCAGCCGCGGUAAUACGUAGGGGGCAAGCGUUAUCCGGAUUUACUGGGUGUAAAGGGGGCGCAGACGGCAGCGCAAGCCAGGAGUGAAAGCCCGGGGCCCAACCCCGGGGCUGCAUUGGAAACUGACAGGCUGGAGUGUCGGAGAGGCAGGCGGAAUUCCUAGUGUAGCGGUGAAAUGCGUAGAUAUUAGGAGGAACACCAGUGGCGAAGGCGGCCUGCUGGACGAUGACUGACGCUGAGGCUCGAAAGCGUGGGGAGCAAACAGGAUUAGAUACCCGCGUAA
rnacentral:rRNA from 1 species